rnacentral:rRNA from 1 species
AGGGAUUGCCCUAGUAACGGCGAGUGAAGCGGCAACAGCUCAAAUUUGAAAUCUGGCUCCUUCCGGGGUCCGAGUUGUAAUUUGUAGAGGGUGCUUUGGCGUUGGCCAUGGUCUAAGUUCCUUGGAACAGGGCGUCACAGAGGGUGAGAAUCCCGUACGUGGCCGCUGGCCUUCGCCAUGUAAAGCCCCUUCGACGAGUCGAGUUGUUUGGGAAUGCAGCUCUAAAUGGGAGGUAAAUUUCUUCUAAAGCUAAAUAUUGGCCAGAGACCGAUAGCGCACAAGUAGAGUGAUCGAAAGAUGAAAAGCACUUUGGAAAGAGAGUCAAAAAGCACGUGAAAUUGUUGAAAGGGAAGCGCUUGCAGCCAGACUUGCCCGUAGUUGCUCAUCCAGGUUUCGGCCCGGUGCACUCUUCUGCGGGCAGGCCAGCAUCAGUUCAGGCGGUCGGAUAAAGGUUUCGGGAAUGUGGCUCUCUUCGGGGAGUGUUAUAGCCCGGGGCGUAAUGCGACCAGCCUGGACUGAGGUCCGCGCAUCUGCUAGGAUGCUGGCGUAAUGGCUGUAAGCGGCCCGUCUUGAAACACGGACCAAGGAGUCUAACAUCUAUGCGAGUGUUUGGGUGUCAAGCCCGAGCGCGUAAUGAAAGUGAACGGAGGUGGGAACCCGCAAGGGCGCACCAUCGACCGAUCCUGAUGUCUUCGGAUGGAUUUGAGUAAGAGCAUAGCUGUUGGGACCCGAAAGAUGGUGAACUAUGCCUGAAUAGGGUGAAGCCAGAGGAAACUCUGGUGGAGGCUCGCAGCGGUUCUGACGUGCAAAUCGAUCGUCAAAUUUGGGCAUAGGGGCGAAAGACUAAUCGAACU